AAACUAAAAUGACCAAAAUAGCACCUUUCUAAGUUUAUCCUUUGAAAAUUUUAAUUUUUUUUUAUUUUUCAAAAUUUGAAAUCUUAUCCCCAAAACCUCAUUUCUCAACUCUAAACCCUAAACCCUAAACUCUAAACCCUAAACCCUAAACCCUAAACUCUAAACCCUAAACCCUAAAAUCUAAACCCUAAACUCUAAACCAUAAACCCUAAACCCUAAACUCUAAACCCUAAACCCUAAACCCUAAACCCUAAACCCUAAAAUCUAAACCCUAAACCCUAAACUCUAAACCCUAAACCUUAAACCCUAAAUCCUAAACCCCAU
rnacentral:lncRNA from 1 species